rnacentral:misc_RNA from 1 species
GAUGAAGAACGUAGCGAAUUGCGAUAAGUAAUGUGAAUUGCAGAAUUCAGUGAAUCAUCGAAUCUUUGAACGCACAUUGCGCCCGCCAGCACUCUGGCGGGCAUGCCUGUCCGAGCGUCAUUUCAACCCUCAGGGCCCCUUCGGGGGACCUGGCGUUGGGGAUCGGCCCGCCCCCGUGCGGCGCCGUCCCCGAAAUAUAGUGGCGGUCUCGCUGCAGCCUCCCCUGCGUAGUAGCACACCUCGCACUGGAGAGCGGCGCGGCCACGCCGUGAAACCCCCAACUUCUGAAUGUUGACCUCGGAUCAGGUAGGAAUACCCGCUGAACUUAAGCAUAUCAAUAAGCGGAGGA